GAUGAACGCUGGCGGCGUGCUUAACACAUGCAAGUCGAACGGUGAAGGCGGAGCUUGCUCUGCUGGAUCAGUGGCGAACGGGUGAGUAACACGUGAGCAAUCUGCCCCUGACUCUGGGAUAAGCGCUGGAAACGGCGUCUAAUACUGGAUACGAGCUGCGAAGGCAUCUUCAGCAGCUGGAAAGAACUUCGGUCAGGGAUGAGCUCGCGGCCUAUCAGCUUGUCGGUGAGGUAACGGCUCACCAAGGCGUCGACGGGUAGCCGGCCUGAGAGGGUGACCGGCCACACUGGGACUGAGACACGGCCCAGACUCCUACGGGAGGCAGCAGUGGGGAAUAUUGCACAAUGGGCGAAAGCCUGAUGCAGCAACGCCGCGUGAGGGACGACGGCCUUCGGGUUGUAAACCUCUUUUAGCAGGGAAGAAGCGAAAGUGACGGUACCUGCAGAAAAAGCGCCGGCUAACUACGUG
rnacentral:rRNA from 1 species